rfam:Dipodomys ordii contig_44284, whole genome shotgun sequence.
GGGAAGGUGACUAAGUGGUAGAGUGCUUGCCUUGCAUGCAUGAGGCUCUGGGUUCGAUUCCUUAGCACCCCCU